UGUCCUAUCUGUGGGCUUGCCUUCAGUUUAGAGGACAUAAAUCAAGCUAUUUUCCUGAGAGGGGGCUGACUCACAUUUCCUGAGCACACUGCCAAUGCACCAAACAAGGAGCUUUAUAAAAGCCUCUCCCGUGGUCACUCAAUCCCUCCAAACAGCUGAACUGGAAUUAAGUUGGCAACAAAUACUGAAUACCACCAAUGUCAGACAACUGAGGGUUUCUGCGGCAAGAGCAGAAUCAAAAAUAAUAAAACCAAAUUGCUGGAAAGCACCUACACUGCUUGCACAGGACUCCCGAAUCCAAGAAAAGCUUCCAGGCUUUUGUGCUGGCCCGGCUGAGGUUGAAUUGUUUCUAUUCUUUCCUUUGCCUGCUGCAAACUUUUCAAGAUGGAUAUGGUUUUAGCACCUUCCUUACUUGACUGGCUGUCACCUGGCCUUCUGCUUGAGGACCUUUUGAACAUCCCCAUGUCUAAUGGAAAGACUGUCCUGAUGCUUUUGUGCCACCAAAUCUGUUUUGAGGCUACUCUGAAUCUGGUCUCGGCUCUCGCUAAGUUGUUUAGCUGGCAUCUUCCUGCUAGUGUGGAGCUUGGAUCCUGAAUCCCAGCCAAUGAUCAGACUACUGACACUUCCAGAACUACAACCAGCCUUUCUGCAAAGGUGAAAGCAGGAGGUAAACUCUGCUCACUUCUCACUGGCUCAAGUGUGGUAAGCUGUCUAGGGAGAACAUCAAUAUUUCUAAAUGCUGAAACUGGUGCUAGAUGUACUAAACCAACUUCCUACAGUAUUCCUACCUCACUCCUGAACAUGCUUCCUAAGUACGUAAGUCUUUACCUCUUCAAGCAGAUGCCUAAUUCUGAGGAUAGAAACAGGUUUUAAUUACACCGUAUUUCCAGGGAUGAGCAUUGGUUUUGACUGGAUGAAGGCCUGUAUCGGGUAAGAUGAAAUACCUGAAAGCCCAACUCAAGAUAGUUUAAAACAAAACUCCAAACCAAAUAAAACCCCAGCAAAGUCCAAGGCUCAUGCCAUGCCCUAAGGAGCUCAUCUUUGGUAUUUUGCUCUUCUCAAUGUUCUGUGUGGCUCCAUGCCCAGAAGAAGUUCACAAUGGGAAGUCCCCAGUUCAGCAAGAACUUUAGUUCU
rnacentral:lncRNA from 1 species